UACGUAGGGUGCAGGCGUUAAUCGGAAUUACUGGGCGUAAAGCGUGCGCAGGCGGCGAUGUAAGACAGAGGUGAAAUCCCCGGGCUCAACCUGGGAACUGCAUUUGUGACUGCAUCGCUGGAGUGCGGCAGAGGGGGAUGGAAUUCCGCGUGUAGCAGUGAAAUGCGUAGAUAUGCGGAGGAACACCGAUGGCGAAGGCAAUCCCCUGGGCCUGCACUGACGCUCAUGCACGAAAGCGUGGGGAGCAAACAGG
rnacentral:rRNA from 1 species